GUUUGUUUAGCCCACAUUGAGCUCCACAUUUUAUAGGCAUGUAUGGUUGUCUAAUUAACUGUUUAGGUUCAAAUAAUUAUUACAAAGUCCCUGACGGGAUAUCUUGUCCAAUUUAAAAGUCUACCGGAAUGUUUUGUCAUUGAAAAUGUUGUUGAAUUUAAAGCACCACCUAAAAUGAACUAAGCACCAGAGGAGGAAGCUUCUGUCUUAAGGUCUUACAUCCAGGGCUUGGGUCCAAACUUGUGUUGUCCAUUCCAGAGGCCAAUUGUGGUAUAUCAUUAAAAAAAUUCAUAUCAGCACCGCCAAAAAAAAACUUAACAUUACAAGUGAUAGCUUAAAUUCCACCACAAUGUCCAAUAAACAGGAAGAUGGGUCUACAAAACUCUUUUGGGGUCUAUGUUGAUUUGUAGGGCCCAUAAACCUGCAAACACUUUUAUCCAAUCCUAAGUAUAAAGGUCUACUAUGGUACAUAUAUAUUUCGAUAAAAAAAAAGUAACAAGCACCACCAAAAAUAAUGUAACUUCGCUCCCGUUAGUCCAACCAAUGGAUAUAGUGGACUAUAAAACACUCUUUGGGGUUGUAAGUUCAACUAAGUUGGUUUGUGAAGCUCUUUUAAUUACAGACACCUCUGGUCCAAUCUUUACCUCAUGGGGGAACAUUUCACAACAGGAGAUAGCUACCUUCCCGCUGGUCCAACAGACAAGUAUAUGGGUGUAUAACACUCUUUGUGAGUCCUAGUUGGUUUGUAAGGCUCAUUGGUCCACAUGCCCCUUGGGUCCAAUCUACAAGUCCAUGUGGUCCUCCUUUAGGGUAUUUUUAAUUAAAGAAAAAUAUAAGCACCACCGAAAAAAAAACUUAGCACCACGGGAGGUAGCUUCCCUCCAAUUGGUCCAACUAACAUGUAUAGGAGUCUAAAGCACUCUAUUGGGGUCUAAGAUGGUUUGUUAAGCUCAUUAGUCCACAGGCACAUAUGGUCCAAUCUACACAAGUCCUGGGGUAUUUUGGUGUAUAUAUCAUUUAAGAAAAAUAUAUUGAGCACCACCAAAAAUGGACUUAGCACCACGGGAGGUGGUUUCCCUCCAAUUGGUCCAACUGACGGGUAUAGGGGUCUAAAGCAAUCUAUUGGGGUCUAAGUUGGUUUGUUAUGCUCAUUAGUCCACAGGCACAUAUGGUCAAAUCUACACAAGUCCUGGGGUCUGUUGGUGUAUAUAUCAUUUAAGAAAAAUAUAAGCACCACAGAAAAAAAACUUAGCACCACGGGAGGUAGCAUCCCUCCAAUUGGUCCAUCUAACGUGUAUAGAGGUCUAAAGCACUCUAUUGGGGUCUAAGAUGGUUUGUUAAGCUUAUUAGUCCACAGGCACAUAUGGUCCAAUCUACACAAAUUCUGGAGUCUUUUGGUGUAUAUAUCAUUUAAGAAAAAUAUAAGCACCACCGAAAAGUGACUUAGCACCACGGGAGGUGGUUUCCCACCCAUUGGUCCAACAAUCAGGUAAAAGGAUCUAUAAUGCUCUUUGGUGUUCUAAGUUGGUUUGUAAGGCUCAUUGGUCCAAAAGCAACUGUGGUCCUAUAUGCAUUAGUCCAGGGUUUCAGGGUAUAUUUCACUAAAGAAAAAUAUAAGCACCACCAAAAAGAGAGUUAGCUUCCCUUCCUUUUGGUCCAACAGAUGGGUAUAGGGGUCUUAAUACUCUUUUGGAUUUUAAGUUGGUUUGUAAGGCUCAUUGGUCCACAGGCAACUUUGAUCCACUCUAAAAGUCAAGGGAUCUAUUAUAUAAUAUUUUAUUUGAUAAAAAUAUAAGCACCACCAAAAAAAAAUUUUGCAACUUGGGAGGUAGCUUUCCUUCCAAUGGUUCAAAGGAUGGGUAGUGGGUCUAAAAUAGUCUAUGGAGUUCUUAUUUGGUUUGUAAGGCCUGUUUAUUCCAAAAGCAACUGUGGUCCAAUAUGCAUUAGUCCAGGGAUCUCAGGGUAUAUUUCACUAAAGAAAAAUAUAAGCACCACCAACAAGUGAAACUGCGAGCUACUGCUCAAUGAUGAUACCCCCGCCGCAAGUGGAUAAUAUUAAUAGUGUAAAAAUAUGCAAGUGUUCGGUAAACAGGAAGUUGUCGAGUGAUGAAUCUGAAAACGCUUCACACGGUAUAGCUGACUUAUAAAAAUCCUGAAACCAAAUUUCAGAAAUCCUUGUGUUGUAGUUCCUGAGAAAAAUGUGACGAAAAUUUUUAACUUGGUUAUUAUGUGUAAAAUCAUACAAGUGUUCGGUAAACAGGAAGUAGUCGAGUGAUGAAUCUGAAAACGCAUCACACAGUAUAGCUGACUUAUAUAAAUCCUGAAACCAAAUUUCAGAAAUCCUUGUAUUGUAGUUCCUGAGAAAAAUGUGACGAAAAUUUUCAACUUGGCUAUCAUGUGUAAAAUCAUACAAGUGUUCGGUAAACAGGAAGUUGUCGAGUGAUGAAUCUGAAAACGCAUCACACGGUAUAGCUGACUUAUAUAAAUCCUGAAACCAAAUUUCAGAAAUCCUUGUAUUGUAGUUCCUGAGAAAAAUGUGACGAAAAUUUUCAACUUGGCUAUCAUGUGUAAAAUCAGACAAGUAUUCGGUAAACAGGAAGUUGUCAAGUGAUGAAUCUGAAAACGCAUCACACGGUAUGGCUGACAUAUAUAAAUGUUGAUACCAAAUUACAGAAAGGGUGGAUGUGUAGUUCCUGAGAAAAAUGUGACGAAAGUUUCAUGGGACGGACUGACUGACGGACGGACGGACGGACUGAUGGACGGACGGACUGACGGACGGACUGACAGACAGAGGUAAAACAGUAUACCCCCCCUUUUUUAAAGCGGGGGUAUAAUUUAAAGCGGGGGUAUAAACAGUAUACCCCCCCUUUUUUAAAGCGGGGGUAUAAAAAGAAACUUAGCACCACAGAAGGUAGCUUCCUUUGGUCCAACAGAUGGGUAUAGGGGUCUUAAUACUCUUUUGGAUUCUAAGUUGGUUUGUAAGGCUCAUUGGUCCACAGGCAACUGUGAUCCACUCUUCAAGUCAAGGGGUCUUUUAUAUUAUAUUUUAUUUGAUAAAAAUAUAAGCACCACCAAAAACAAACUUUGCAUCUCUUGAGGUAGCUUCCCUCCCAAUGGUCCAAAGUAUUGGUAGUGGGUCUAAAAUAGUCUAUGGAGUUCUUAUUUGGUUUGUAAGGCCUGUUGGUCCAAAAGCAACUGUGGUCCAAUAUGCAUUAGUCCAGGGAUCUCAGGGUAUAUUUCACUAAAGAAAAAUAUAAGCACCACCAAAAAGAAACUUAGCACCACAGAAGGUAGCUUCCCUUCCUUUGGUCCAACAGAUGGGUAUAGGGGUCUUAAUACUCCUUUGGAUUCUAAGUUGGUUUGUAAGGCUCAUUGGUCCACAGGCAACUGUGAUCCACUCUUCAAGUCAAGGGGUCUUUUAUAUUAUAUUUUAUUUGAUAAAAAUAUAAGCACCACCAAAAAAAAACUUUGCAUCUCUUGAGGUAGCUUCCCUCCCAAUGGUCCAAAGGAUGGGUAGUGGGUCUAAAAUAGUCUUUGGGGUUCUUAGUUGGUUUGUAAGGCCUGUUGGUCUAAAAGCAACUGUGGUCCAAUCUACAUUAGUCUAGGGGUCUCUGGGUUUAUUUUACUGAAGAAAAAUAUAAGCACCACCAAAAAGAAAUGUAGCACCACAGGAGGUUACUUCCCUCAAUUUGGUCCAACAGAUGGGUAUAGGGGUCUAAAUACUCUUAGGGGUACUAAGUUGGUUUGUAAGGCUCAUUGGUCAACAGGCAACUGUGGUCUAAUCUUUUAGUUAAGGGUUCUCAUAGGGUAUAUUUCAUUAAAGAAAAAUAUAAGCACCAAGAAAAACAAACUAAGAACCAUGGGAGGUAGCUUUCCUCUCGUUGGCCCAACAGACAGAUUUAGGGGUCUAACACAUUCUUUGGGUCUAAGAUGAUUUGAAAAGCUCAUGUGGUUCAAUCUUCUAGUCCAGAGGUCUGUUGUAGUAUAUUUCAUUUAAGAAAUAUAAGCACCAUCAGGCACGAACUAAGCACCAUGGGAGGUAGCUUUCCUCUCAGUGGUCCAUCAGAUAGGUUAAGGGGUCUAACCCACUCUUUUGGGUCUAAGAUGAUUUGAAAAGCACAUGUGGGGCAAUCUUCUAGUCCAAAGGUCUGUUGUGGUAUAUUUCAUUAAAGAAAUAUAAUAAGAGACCACCAAAAAUUGACUUAGCACCACGGAUGAUUGCUUCCACCCCUUGAUCCAAUAAACAGGUAUAGGGAUGUAAAAAACACUUUGAGAGGUCUAUGUUGAUUUAUAUGGCCCACUGUCUGUGUCCAAUCUACGAGUCCAGGAGUUUUAUGAUAUAUUUCAUUAAAGAAAAACUUGAUUUUGUUUUACAGGGCCAUUUGGUCUACAUGUAUGCACAAAAUGUUACUGACAGGUCUGUAUCCUUAAAGCUGUGUAAAUGCAAACAAAUGUUGUGAGGAGGAGAUUUUAAAGCCAGAAAAAUUGUAUUUCUUAUGAUAAUUCUCCAUUGCUCUCCCUGUCUUCAAGGUAAAAACCCUCUAAAGGAGCACAUGAAUUAGUAUGAAAUAAGCACCUUAAAACAUGAAGUAACUUUGUAAAAAAGAAGAAAAAAAACAAAUAUGAUAUUCAGCAAUGAUAACAGGCUGCUGACUUAGAACAGUCACAUAUAGAAAAACAUAAAUAACAUGACAUGUUCAUUAUGGUGUGAUAUUUAAAAUCACUAUGCUAAAUUAUUGAUUCUUAAUUGUACAUCAUUUUUAUGAAAUUGUGUGUCUAACUAUAUAUCUAAAUCUUGUUUUUCUUUCCGCAGAUUAUCCAAAUUGACGUCAAAAGUGUUCAGAUAUCAGAUGUACUACAGCUAAAGAAUGAAAUUAAUUGUGGUCAUUUCACAGCUUUUGCCUACAGUCAGCUUUUUAUGGUAGGAUAAUAUGCACGUCUUAAGUAUUAAUAGUGUAUACAAAUGUAAAAUAAAUCAAUGUAUACACACCUUUUAUCAAUUAAUAAUUUGUUCAUUCAUUCAUUUUCCCAUAUUUUGAUAAAUUACAUUGCACAUAAUUUAAAUAAAUUAUCACAUAUUAAAGUAAACAAUAAGUAUAUCCAAUUGGACAAAUAUAAGUUUCAAGUAGACAAUUAUUCUAUAAUAUUACAAAAGUGGCAGAUGACCUGUAGUUGUUAAUUUCUGUAUCAUUUGGUCUCUUGUAAAGAGUUGUCUCAUAGGCAAAUACAUUUACAAUCUGUUAGGGAGCUGAUUUUACUGAUUCAGACAAUUUAUUUCAUUCUAUCUUGAUUGAUUAUGUAGCACUAAACAAUUGUCACAAGCAAACAUGUAUUUGAAUUUCAAGUUAUUAUUUUAAAAAAUUGAGGCUUUAUUAUUUCAGUGAAUUAAAGAAUGAAGAGAAAUCAACUUAUUUAUACCCAAGCUGACCAACUGUCAAGAAAAAGAAGACAAGGCAACUCCAUCUGAAGGAAAUUAAAAGAAAAGAUUUUAUCAUUACAACAAUAGAUGUGAAAAUGUUAUUUUUUCAAUCUAAAACAUACAUAACAAAAAAUACACUUAAAAAAUACUGUUCAAGAUUGUUUCUUAAAAUAUCAGUCUUACUUUUUUUAUAUACUUGAAGAUGUAUUGUAAAAGUAAAUUUGUUAGAUUAAAGUUUUUCAAGGCUUGAAUUAUCUCCCCUUAUUAAUCUCCAAAAAACUUUAUGCAAGACUAUUUGUUUUCCAACUCCUAGAAUUCUAAAUGUUUAAAGUUGAAAACAUGUGUCAAAAUUUGUUUCUUCUUUGUUUACAGCUUUAUGAUUGGAGUUCAACCUUUUAUCUCAAGAACAAAAUAAAGGAAAUCUACUGUGCACCGAUUUAAAAGUCUUCCUCUUUUUUUAUGAAUUGUAAAGAUAAUUUUUGAAGACGGACAAUUUAACACUGUAUUAGAGAAAUUUAGUUUGCAGAAAUUCAAGAUACAUUUUGUAAAACCAAACAAUAUGAC
rnacentral:lncRNA from 1 species